rnacentral:lncRNA from 1 species
GUGGAAGCACGAGACGAGGCUGCGCCCGCCGGUCGCAGAGCUGUCAGCAAGCUCCAAACCGCGGCUGCCGCCCGGAGGGAAGCAGACGGGGAGUCGGUGGCGGCCGCCGAGUCCGCAUGCGCAGGCUGCAAAGGCCCUUUUGGGCCGGUCCCGCCGCGCUAGGUUGGCGAGUGGGACUAUUUGAUCCUUUCCAGGUUCGCCAGCGUGGUGUUACGAGAGGAAAGCGCAGCCGCAGCGUACGAAUGGGAAGGCCAAACACGGUCCCGGGGAGUCUGAGGGAAGCUGCAGGGCGCCUGGAAUUGGGGUCUCGAGUGAGCCGGUAAAAACCGCCUCCCGCUGAGCGUCCCGGAACAAAUACUGUCUGAACUGAGCCGUAAGCAAGAAACGGUCAGGAGAAGCUGGGGCGAUCUGAUGAUUAGAACAUUUCAGGGACUACCAGAGAGAAGUGCGUAAUUGCUCUAAGGCAGGUAGGUAAUUGGCCUGGAAACUUGGGAACGCCCCGCCCCCCACCCCGACUUUCAGCAAACCACCGUGCCCAGGAAAAAGAGCGAUUGUGGAAGACCCUGUGAAGAAGAGACCAGGAAGGCACUGUGGCUUAAGAGAGCAAGGCGUUCCUGAAUGCAGCCAACAUCAACUGGUAAACAAAAAACUGUGAGAACGGAUCCUGAAUCUUGCGCUUACCAGGGGAAAUUCAGGAGAGAUAUGAACCUGAGCAAGAUGAGGUUGAAGUUACUCAAUGCGGCAUUAAGCCUGUUCACGGCCACUUCCUCCGGCGUCACCAACACACACACUGUACACCAGCAGUAUUUUUACACGGGGUAUGUGUGUUAAGUACUAUCAGGUGGAUAAUUAUUACUUCACCUGUAUUUGCUGCCUUGAUACCAUUAGAGAAACUCAUGAAUUAUAAAUAGCAUAGUGAAUUUGUGAUUCCCUGAAGAUAUACUAAGGUGGACUUUUAAAAAGGCUUCUAUUCCAAAGGGAACUAAUAUGGAGGAAAUGGUUUCGAGAAAGAAAAAAGAAAAAACGGAGUCCUUGAUUAGUUGUGGGGAAGGCAACAUAAUGUAAUGUGAAGAAUAAAGGAGUCAGAUCCAGGAAACCCCAUAACUAUUAUGUAAGUUAUCUUCAUCUGUAAAGUGGUUAGGAUCCUGAUAGUCUCAAAGGUUUGUUUUGAGGUUUCAUGAAGCAGAUAAAUAUUCUUGUAAAUUGUAGAAUGUUAUACCAGUGUUACUCAUUAUUCUAACAAGAGCAGAGUAGUGAAGAGAGGCUCCUUCAGAAAUUCCUUGGGAUUUUUUUUUUUUUGGCUUCUGUUUUUUUAUAUCACAAGGUAGUGUCUCUGAAAAAUGGUAGAUGAUUUCAAUGUCCACAAAUAUGCAGGUGUAGACAUUCAAUUGAGGUACUGUACCCAAGGCAGCCAGCAAAAUGCUGAACAUAGAAAAUAACUUUGUAAACAAAAUGCAAUAUUUCUAGACAGUGAGUUAUCACCAGUGUGCUGCCUAUGACCCUGGCCUUAAGGAAAAAGUAGCAGAGCUGAAGAAGUUCUAAGGAUGGAAAUUAAAAAUUAUUAAGGAGAUAAUAGACUUCGUGUUAUAGGAAAUAAAAAUAGCAAGGGUCUUCAAUGGUGAGUGAUUUUGAGAUUAAUUACAUAACUAUGAAUUCUGUAAUAUUAGAACUAAGCUUUACAAAGCAUUCCUUAAAAAAAGAUAAUUUUACAACAAAGGUAACAUUAGACAGAAAAAAAUGUACAAAACUAAAAUUAAGUGAUUAAUGCUUGGGAAUGUUUCCUCCAAUGUUCAUCUAGUCAUGGUUUUCACGAAUCACUCUUGCCAAUAAAACCGAAAAUCAAAGUAAUCUAGUGAGUGUAAGAAAAGUUACUGUAAAUAUGUUUGCAUUCGUCAGACUCUAUGGAGUCUUUUUGAAGUUAAACAUUAAAUCUCCACUGUAAUUCAUACUGUUAAUUAUAGUAGCAAAAGACUUAAAAAACAAUGGUAGCAUAUUUAUGAUAUAUCCAAAAUUAAGAGUAUUAUGCAAUUUUUAUUAGGUUGAUCUAUGUUUAUUGACUAGGAAAAACAAUGUUGGUAGAGAGGAGUGAACAGAUCUAGAACAUAUUUUGUAGGUAAAGGGAAUAAGAUUUGUUUAGGAAUUAACUAUGAGGAGAAAUAAAUGUUCAGAAACAAGUAGAGCACUUAUAAACACCUUUUUGUGCCAAA